rnacentral:rRNA from 1 species
AUUGAACGCUGGCGGCAGGCUUAACACAUGCAAGUCGAGCGGGGGAAGGUAGCUUGCUACCGGACCUAGCGGCGGACGGGUGAGUAAUGCUUAGGAAUCUGCCUAUUAGUGGGGGACAACAUCUCGAAAGGGAUGCUAAUACCGCAUACGUCCUACGGGAGAAAGCAGGGGAUCUUCGGACCUUGCGCUAAUAGAUGAGCCUAAGUCGGAUUAGCUAGUUGGUGGGGUAAAGGCCUACCAAGGCGACGAUCUGUAGCGGGUCUGAGAGGAUGAGCCGCCAAACUGGGACGUGGACACGGGCCAGACUCCUACGGGAGGCAGGAGUGGGGAAUAUUGGACAAUGGGGGGAACCCUGAUCCAGCCAUGCCGCGUGUGUGAAGAAGGCCUUAUGGUUGUAAAGCACUUUAAGCGAGGAGGAGGCUACUCUAGUUAAUACCUAGGGAUAGUGGACGUUACUCGCAGAAUAAGCACCUGCUAACUCUGUGCCAGCCGCCGCCGUAA